rnacentral:rRNA from 1 species
UACGUAGGGGGCAAGCGUUGUCCGGAUUUAUUGGGCGUAAAGAGCGUGUAGGCGGCUUUACAGGUCCGUUGUGAAAACUCGAGGCUCAACCUCGAGACGCCGGUGGAAACCGUAAGGCUAGAGUCCGGAAGAGGAGAGUGGAAUUCCCAGUGUAGUGGUGAAAUACGUAGAGAUCGGAAGGAACGCCCGCGGCGAAAGCGCGGUCCUGGACGCCUACUGACGCUGAGGCGCGAAAGCCAGGGGAGCGAACGGG